UACAGAGGUCCCAAGCGUUGUUCGGAUUCAUUGGGCGUAAAGGGUGCGUAGGUGGCGCUGUAAGUCGGGUGUGAAAUUUCGGAGCUUAACUCCGAAACUGCAUUCGAUACUGCGGUGCUCGAGGACUGGAGAGGAGACUGGAAUUCAUGGUGUAGCAGUGAAAUGCGUAGAGAUCAUGAGGAAGACCAGUGGCGAAGGCGGCCCUCUGGUCCAGUACUGACACUCAAGUGCGAAAGCGUGGGGAGCAAACAGG
rnacentral:rRNA from 1 species